CAGCAUGGUGUUCCCUCGGCUC
rnacentral:siRNA from 1 species